UUUCGAGGAAACAGAAUAUCAAACGGAGUCCAAACGGAAUGAAACCUUCGGGAACGUGAUCUUCUCACCGAACGUGAUCCAGGAGACUUGGACCCUACUCCAAGAAGUUUCCGGGGAGGUCACGAGGGUGGAGGGCGCCCCCCCUGGGCGCGCCCCCUGCCUCGUGGGCCCCUCGGAGCUCCACCGACGUGCUUCUUCCGCCUAUAUAUCUCCAUAUACCCUAAAAACAUCAGAGAGCACAAUAGAUCAGGAGUUCCGCCGCCAGAAGCCUCCGUAGCCAUCAAAAGUCAACCGGGACCCUGUUCCGGCACCCUGCCGGAGGGGGGAACCCUCACCGGUGGCCAUCUUCAUCAUCCCGGCGCUCUCCAUGACGAGGAAGGAGUAGUUCUCCCUCGGGGCUGAGGGUAUGUACCAGUAGCUAUGUGUUUGAUCUCUCUCUCUCGUCUUCUUGAGAUGAUACGAUCUUGAUGUAUCGCGAGCUUUGCUAUUAUAGUUGGAUCUUAUGUUUCUCCUCCCCCUCUUCUCUCUUGUAAUGAAUUGAGUUUUCCCGUUGAAGUAAUCUUAUCGGAUUGAGUCUUUAAAGACUUGAGAACACUUGAUGUAUGUCUUGCCAUGGAUAUAUGUGGUGACAAUGGGAUACCACAUGCCACUUGAUGUAUGUUUUGGUGACCAACUUGCGGGUUUCGUGACAUUGGGAACCUAUGCAUAGGGGUUUUGGCACACGUUUUCGUCGUGAUUCUCCGGUAGAACUUUGGGGCACUCUUUGAGGUCCUUUGUGUUGGAUGAAUAGAUGAAUCUGAGAUUGUGUGACGCAUACCGUAUAAUCAUACCCACGGAUACUUGAGGUGACAUUGGAGUAUCUAGGUGACAUUAGGGUUUUGAUUGAUUUGUGUCUUAAGGUGUUAUUCUAGUACGAACUCUAGGGCUGUUUGUGACACCUAUAGGAAUAGCCCAAUGGAUUGAUUGGAAAGAAUAACUUUGAGGUGGUUUCGUACCCUACCAUAAUCUCUUCGUUCGUUCUCCGCUAUUAGUGACUUUCGAGUGUCUCUUUGUUGCAUGCUGAGGGAUAGUUAUGUGAUCCAAUUAUGUUAGUAUUGUUGAGGGAACUUACACUAGCGAAAGUAUGAACCCUGGGCCUUGUUUACCAUCAUUGCAAUACCGUUUACGCUCACUUUUAUCACUUGCUACCUUGCUGUUUUUAUUAUUUCAGAUUACAAAAACUAUUAUCUACCAUCCAUAUACCACUUGUAUCACCAUCUCUUCGCCGAACUAGUGCACCUAUACAAUUUACCAUUGUAUUGGGUGUGUUGGGGACACAAGAGACUCUUUGUUAUUUGGUUGCAGGGUUGCUUGAGAGAGACCAUCUUCAUCCUACGCCUCCUACGGAUUGAUAAACCUUAGGUCAUCCACUUGAGGGAAAUUUGCUACUAUCCUACAAACCUCUGCACUUGGAGGCCCAACAACGUCUACAAGAAGAAGGUUGUGUAGUAGACAUCAAGCUCUUUUCUGGUGCCGUUGCCGGGGAGGCUAGGUAAGUGAAGGUAUAUCUUUAGAUCUUGCAAUCGAAUCUUUUUGUUUCUUGUUUUAGCACUAGUCUAGUUUAUAAAAGAAAACUACCAAAAAAUGGAAUUGAGUUUGUCUCAUACGCUUCACCUUUUUAAUAUCUUUCAUGAGUAUGAUGGAAAGGAUAAUUGUGCUCAAGUGCUAGAAGAAGAAAUCUCUAAAUUGUUUGGCACUAAAUAUGUGAAUGAUGAGCAUGAUUGCAAUGUUGUUAGUAUGAAUUCCUUGAAUAGCCAUGAUGCUAAUGAUAUGCAAAGCCACAAGCUUGGGGAAGCUAUGUUUGAUGAAGAUGAUAUUUUUUGUCCCCCAAGUUUUGAUGAGCAAAUUUAUUAUGAUGAAAUCAUGCCUCCUAUUUAUGAUAAUUAUAUUGAUGAAAGUGGAAUUGGAGAGGUCAUGACUUUAUUUUGUGAUGAAUCCACUAUUCUGGAAGAGGUUCCAAUUGAUUGUGAGAACAAAGUUGCUAUCUAUGAUGAUUAUUGUGAUGACUUGUAUGCUAUAAAGAAUAAUUAUAUCCAUGAAACCUGUCGUCAUGAUUUUAGUUUUCAAUUGAAUUAUGCCUCACAUGAUAAUUAUUUUGUUGAGUUUGCCCCCACAAUUAUUCAUGAGAAGAAUUUUGCUUAUGUGGAGAGUAAUAAAAUUUCUAUGCUUGUAGAUCAUGAAAAGAAUGCUUUAGGUGCUGGUUAUAUUGUUGAAUUCAUUCAUGAUGCUACUGAAAAUUAUUAUGAGGGAGGAAUAUAUGCUUUUAGGAAUUGCAAUAAUAUCAAGUUUCCUCUCUAUGUGCUUAAAAUUUUGAAGCUAUGCUUGUUUUACCUUCCUAUGCAAGUUGAUUCUUGUUCCCACAAGUUGUUUGCUCACAAAAUCCCUAUGCAUAGGAAGUAUGUUAGACUUAAAUUUGCUAGUCAUAUUCUUCAUGAUGCUCUCUUUAUGUUUCAAUUAUUAUCUUUUAUGUGAGCAUCAUUGAAAUCAUCAUGCCUAGCUAGGGGCGUUAAACGAUAGCGCUUGUUGGGAGGCAACCUAAUUUUAUUUUUGUUCCUUGCUUUUUAUUCCGCUUUAGUAAUAAAUAAUUCAUCUAGCCUCUAUUUAGAUGUGGUUUUAUGUGUUUAAUUAGUGUUUGUGCCAAGUAGAACCUUUGGGAAGACUUGGGGAAAGUCUUGUUGACCAUGCUGUCAAAAACAGAAACUUUAGCGCUCACGAGAAUUGAUGCCAUUUUUAUUUGGAGAGUGCUAUUUAGUUAAUUAUUUUUUCAGAUGAUUAAUAGAUAAAUUACUCAGGUCCAGCAAUUUAUUUUAGAAUUUUUGGGGUUCCAUAAGUAUACGUUUGAUCCAGAUUACUACAGGCUGUUCUGUUUUUGACAGAUUCUGUUUUUCGUGUGUUGUUUGCUUAUUUUGAUGAAUCUAUGGCUAGUAAAAGAGUUUAUAAACCAUAGAGAAGUUGGAAUACAGUAGGUUUAACACUAAUAUAAAUAAAGAAUGAGUUCAUUACAGUACCUUGAAGUAGUGUUUUGUUUUCUUUCGCUAACGGAGCUUACGAGUUUUCUGUUAAGUUUUGUGUUGUGAAGUUUUCAAGUUUUGGGUAAAGAUUCGAUGGACUAUGGUACAAGGAGUGGUAAGAGCCUAAGCUUGGGGAUGCCCAAGGCACCCCAAGGUAAUAUUAAAGGACAAACAAGAGCCUAAGCUUGGGGAUUCCCCGGAAGGCAUCCCCUCUCUCGUCCACUUCCAUCGGUAAUUUACUUGGAGCUAUAUUUUUAUUCACCACAUGAUAUGUGUUUUGCUUGGAGCGUCUUGUAUUAUUUGUGUCUUUGCUUGUUAGUCUAACACAAUCAUCCUUGCUGUACACACCUUUUGAGAGAGCCUUGUAUAAAUUGAAAUUUUUUAGAAUACUCUAGUUGCUUCACUUAUAUCUUUUGAGCUUGAUAGUUUACUCUAUGUGCUUCACUUAUAUCUUUUUGAGCGUGAUAAUUUUUGCUCUAGUGCUUCACUUAGACCUUUUAGAGCACGGUGGUGGUUUGUUUUAAAUAAACUUGAUCUCUCAUGCUUCACUUAGAUUAUUUUGAGAGUCUUAAAUAGCAUGGUAAUUUGCUUAAUGUUAAUAUACUUGGUAUUCAAGAUAUGUGAAACUUUCUUUUUAGUGGGUUGAAUACUAAGAUAAGUUUGAUGCUUGAUAAUUGUUUUGAGAUAUGGAGGUGAUGAUAUCAUAGUCGUGCUAGUUUAGUAGUUGUGAAUUUGAGAAAUACUUGUGUUGAAGUUAGCAAGUCCCAUAGCAUGCACGUAUGGUUAAAGUUGUGUAACAAAUUUGAAGCAUGAAGUGUACCUGGCUUGUGCAUCCUUAUGAGUGGCGGUCGGGGACGAGCGAUGGUCUUUUCCUACCAAUCUAUCCCCCUAGGAGCAUGCGCGUAGUACUUGAUUUUUGAUGACUUCUAAAUUUUUGCAAUAAGUAUAUGAGUUCUUUUGACUAAUGUUGAGUCCAUGGAUUAUACGCACUUUUACCUUUCCGCCAUUUGCUAGCCUCUUCGGUACCGUGCAUUGCCCUUUCUCACAUUGAGAGUUGGUGCAAACUUCACCGGUGCAUCCACACCCCGUGAUAUGAUACGCUCUUUCACACAUAAACCUCCCUAUAUCUUCCUCAAAACAGCCACCAUACCUACCUAUCAUGGCAUUUCCAUAGCCAUUCCGAGAUAUAUUGCCAUGCAACUUCCAUCAUCAUCAUCAUGACAUGCUUUACUUUUGUCAUAUUGCCAUUGCAUGAUCUUGUAGUUGACAUCGUAUUUGUGGCAAAGCCACCAUGCAUUAUUUUUCAUACAUGUCACUCUUGAUUCAUUGCACCAUCCCGGUACACCGCCGGAGGCAUUCAUAUAGAGUCAUAUCUUGUUCUAGUAUCGAGUUGUAAUCAUUAUGUUGUAAUCAAUAGAAGUGUGAUGAUCAUCAUUAUUAGAGCAUUGCCCAAUCAAAAAAAGAGAGAGAAAGGCCAAAAAGAAAAAAAGAAAGGCCCAAAAAAAGAGAGAAAAUAAAAAGGGCAAUGCUACUAUCUCUUUUUCCGCACUUGUGCUUCAAAGUAGCACCUUGUUCUUCAUGUAGUGAGUCUCAUAUAUUGUGCUUAAAAGUAGCACGAUGAUUUCAUAUAGUGAGUCUCAUAAGUUGUCUUGUUCAUACUAGUGUGAAUUUUUCAUUAUAGAACUUGGCUUGUAUAUUCCAACGAUGGGCUUCCUCAAAAUGCCCUAGGUCUUCAUGAGCAAGCAAGUUAGAUGCACACCCACUAGUUUUCUUUUGUUGAGCAUUCUUAGCUCUAGUGCAUCCGUUGCAUGGCAAUCCCUACUCCUUGCAUUAACAUCAAUUGAUGGGCAUCUCCAUAGCUCAUUGAUUAGCCUCGUUGAUGUGAGACUUUCUUCUUUUUUGUCUUCUCCACACAAUCCCCAUCAUCAUAUUCUAUACCACCCAUAGUGCUAUGUCCAUGGCUCGCGCUCAUGUAUUGCGUGAAGGUUGAAAAAGUUUGAGAUUAUUUGAGUAUGAAACAAUUGCUUGGCUUGUCAUCGGGGGUAUAGAAGUUGGGAACAUCUUUGUGUGACGAAAAUGAAGCAUAGCCUAACUAUAUGAUUUUGUAGGGAUGAACUUCCUUUGGCCAUGUUAUUUUGAGAUGACAUAAUUGUUUGAUUAGUAUGCUUGAAGUAUUAUCAUUUUUAUGUCAAUAUGAACUUUUGUCUUGAACCUUUCAGAUCUGAAUAUUCAUACCAUGAUUAAGAAGAUUUACAUUGAAAUUAUGCCAAAGUAUCACUCCGCAUCAAAAAUUCUCUUUUUAUCAUUUACCUACUCGAGGACGAGCAGGAAUUAAGCUUGGGGAUGCUUGAUACGUCUCCAACGUAUCUAUAAUUUUUGAUUGCUCCAUGCUACUUUAUCUACUGUUUUGGACUAUAUUGGGCUUUAUUUUCCACUUUUAUAUUAUUUUUGGGACUAACCUAUUAACCGGAGGCCCAGCCCAGAAUUGCUAUUUUUUGCCUAUUUCAGUAUUUCGAGGAAACAGAAUAUCAAACGGAGUCCAAACGGAAUGAAACCUUCGGGAACGUGAUCUUCUCACCGAACGUGAUCCAGGAGACUUGGACCCUACUCCAAGAAGUUUCCGGGGAGGUCACGAGGGUGGAGGGCGCCCCCUGGGCGCGCCCCCUGCCUCGUGGGCCCCUCGGAGCUCCACCGACGUGCUUCUUCCGCCUAUAUAUCUCCAUAUACCCUAAAAACAUCAGAGAG
rnacentral:lncRNA from 1 species